AGUGAACGCUGGCGGUAGGCCUAACACAUGCAAGUCGAACGGCAGCACAGUAGGAACUUUCUCUUACGGGUGGCGACUGGCGGAGAAUUCGUCAAUACAUCGCUAUUUGCUUUUUCUUGGGGGAUAACGUUUACGCUCAUACCGUAUUAGUCCUUCCGGCGUACGUGUGAGAGCACGAGGUCUUCCGACCUUACACGAUUCGAUGAGCCGAUGUCUGAUUAGCUAGUUGGCGGGGUAAAGGCCCACCAAGGCGACGAUCCGUAGCUGGUCUGAGAGGAUGAUCAGCCACACUGGAACUGAGACACGGUCCAGACUCCUACGGGAGGCAGCAGUGGGGAAUAUUGGACAAUGGGCGCAAGCCUGAUCCAGCCAUACCGCGUGGGUGAAGAAGGCCUUCGGGUUGUAAAGCACUUUUGUUGGGAAAGAAAAGCAGCAGGUUAAUACCCCGCUGUUAUGACGGUACCCAAAGAAUAAGCACCGGCUAACUUCGUG
rnacentral:rRNA from 1 species